rnacentral:tRNA from 3 species
CGGGGCGUAGCGCAGCCUGGUAGCGUACCUGCAUGGGGUGCAGGUGGUCGCGAGUUCGAAUCUCGCCGCCCCGACCA